GACAGAGGGUGCAAACGUUGUUCGGAAUUACUGGGCGUAAAGCGAGUGUAGGCGGUUCGAUAAGUCGGAUGUGAAAGCCCCGGGCUCAACCCGGGAAGUGCACUCGAUACUGUUGAGCUAGAGUAUCGGAGAGGUUGGUGGAAUUCUCGGUGUAGAGGUGAAAUUCGUAGAUAUCGAGAGGAACACCGGUGGCGAAGGCGGGUCUCUGGGCCGUAACUGACGCUGAGGAGCGAAAGCGUGGGGAGCGAACAGG
rnacentral:rRNA from 1 species